rnacentral:rRNA from 1 species
GAUGAACGCUGGCGGCGUGCCUAACACAUGCAAGUCGAGCGGAAAUACUUGAAGCAGUAAUGCGGAUGGUAUUUUAGCGGCGGACGGGUGAGUAACACGUGAGCAAUCUGCCUCUGACUGGGGAAUAACAUUGUGAAAACAAUGCUAAUACCGCAUGAUAUCCGACCGGGGCAUCCCGGAUGGAUCAAAGGAGUAAUCCGGUCAGAGAUGAGCUCGCGUCCGAUUAGGUAGUUGGUAGGGUAAUGGCCUACCAAGCCUACGAUCGGUAGCCGGACUGAGAGGUUGAACGGCCACAUUGGGACUGAGACACGGCCCAGACUCCUACGGGAGGCAG